UGACCGGCUCAGUGACCAUGUGAUCGUGUCUGGGCCAGAGGACGAGGGGCUGUACGACUGUGUGUGCACAUGGACUCACCAGCAGCACCUGUACCGCUCUGUGGGCUCCAAACCAGUGUGUCUCAAAGGUAAGUCCACCAGUGUCCGGAGACAGCCUGACCACAGCUAAUGGCACGUCUCCCCACAGAGCCGACCAUUGUUCUGGAUGAAGUGAUGAUCCUGACUCCAACUGAGGAAGAGCAGCUCGCCGAUGCAGGUUCCCGGCUGCUGCUCAACUGCUCAGUGCUCUGUGGCACCAACGUCCCGCAGCACAACUGUAAGGCAUGGUGGCGCACUGAAACAUCAGCUUUAACCUCUAAGCGCUACAACCGGACCAAAGUGUGAGUACAUCCGAAUCGAGCAGAUUGGUAAGAGGUCUAAGC
rnacentral:lncRNA from 1 species